rnacentral:rRNA from 1 species
AUUGAACGCUGGCGGUAUGCUUAACACAUGCAAGUCGAACGGUAACAGGCCUUCGGGCGCUGACGAGUGGCGGACGGGUGAGUAACGCGUAGGAAUCUGCCUCAUAGUGGGGGACAACGUGUGGAAACGCACGCUAAUACCGCAUACGCCCUACGGGGGAAAGCGGGGGACCUUCGGGCCUCGCGCUAUGAGAUGAGCCUGCGUUAGAUUAGCUAGUUGGUAGGGUAAAGGCCUACCAAGGCGACGAUCUAUAGCUGGUCUGAGAGGACGAUCAGCCACACUGGGACUGAGACACGGCCCAGACUCCUACGGGAGGCAGCAGUGGGGAAUAUUGGACAAUGGGCGCAAGCCUGAUCCAGCAAUACCGCGUGUGUGAAGAAGGCCCUAGGGUUGUAAAGCACUUUCAAUAGGGAGGAAAACCUGUCGGUCAAUACCCGGCAGCUUGACAUUACCUAUACAAGAAGCACCGGCUAACUCCGUGCCAGCCGCCGCAGUAA